rnacentral:rRNA from 1 species
GAUCAUGGCUCAGGAUGAACGCUAGCUACAGGCUUAACACAUGCAAGUCGCGGGGCAGCAUGGUCUUAGCUUGCUAAGACUGAUGGCGACCGGCGCACGGGUGAGUAACGCGUAUCCAACCUUCCCCUUAGUAGGGCAUAGCCCGGCGAAAGUCGGAUUAAUACCCUAUGUUCUUCGUAGAUGGCAUCUGAGACGAAGCAAAGGUUAGCGCUAAGGGAUGGGGAUGCGUCUGAUUAGGCAGUCGGCGGGGUAACGGCCCACCGAGCCUUCGAUCAGUAGGGGUUCUGAGAGGAAGGUCCCCCACAUUGGAACUGAGACACGGUCCAAACUCCUACGGGAGGCAGCAGUGAGGAAUAUUGGUCAAUGGGCGAGAGCCUGAACCAGCCAAGUAGCGUGCAGGACGACGGCCCUACGGGUUGUAAACUGCUUUUAUGCGGGGAUAAAGUGCCCUACGUGUAGGGUAUUGCAGGUACCGCAUGAAUAAGGACCGGCUAAUUCCGUGCCAGCCGCAGC